CUGCAGCUCAAGUGGUGACCGUUAUUAUUGGGCCUAAAACGUCCGUAGCCUGUCUAUUAAAUGCCUGGGUAAAUCGUGUAGCUUAACUAUACGAAUUCCGGGUAGACUGAUAGACUUGAGACUGGGAGAGGCUAGAGGUACUCCUGGGGUAGAGGUGAAAUUCUGUAAUCCUGGGGGGACCACCAGUGGCGAAGGCGUCUAGCCAGAACGGGUCUGACGGUGAGGGACGAAGCCCUGGGGCGCAAACCGGAUUAGAUACCCGAGUAGUCC
rnacentral:rRNA from 1 species